AUAUGGUCAAGCGAAUAAGGGUCCACGGAGGAUGCCUAGGAGCUGUCAGACGAUGAAGGCCGUGGUAAGCUGCGAAAAGCUGCGGGAAGGAGCAAACAUCCUAUAAUCCGCAGAUCGCCGAAUGGGGUAACCUGUCUGCUUGGAAUAGCGGGCACGUCAUGGUGAACACAUAGCCAUGGUGAGGGAUACCCAGGGAACUGAACCAUCUUAGUACCUGGAGGAAAAGAAACCAAAAGGGAUUCCCAGAGUAGCGGCGAGCGAAAUGGGAGGAGCCUAAACCGCGUACGUGUAAGGCGUAUACCGUUGCGUAUGCGGGGUUGUAGGGCUGUGCCUAAGGAGGGUAUACGACCUUCUGCGCAGUAAAAAACCGCGAGUAUAGGGGAACGCUACUGGAAAGGGCGACCAGAGGGGGUGAGAGUCCCGUACCUGAAAUACGAGCGGCUGCGUCGGCAUAGAACCUGAGUAGGGCGGGGCACGAGAAAUCCUGCCUGAAGCUGGGUCGACCACGAUCCAAGGCUAAAUACUCGACAGCUACCGAUAGCGCAUAGUACCGAGAGGGAAAGGUGAAAAGAACCCCGGAAGGGGAGUGAAAUAGAAUCUGAAACCGUGGACUUACAAGCGGUCAUGGCCUGUCUUCGGAUGGGUUAUGGCGUGCCUUUUGUAGAAUGAGCCUGCGAGUUACUGUAUGCAGCGAGGUUAAGGGAUGGGAGUCCCGGAGCCGGAGGGAAACCGAGUCUGAAUAGGGCGGCAAGUUGUGUGCAGUAGACCCGAAGCCGAGUGAUCUAUCCAUGGCCAGGCUGAAGCUCUGGUAAAACAGGGUGGAGGGCCGAACCCUAGUCUGUUGAAAAAGGCAGGGAUGAGUUGUGGAUAGGAGUGAAAGGCUAAACAAACUCGGAGAUAGCUGGUACUCCCCGAAAUAGCUUUAGGGCUAGCCUCACGGAUAUGUCAUGGAGGUAGAGCACUGAAUGGGCUAGGGCCCUUCACCGGGUACCAAACUCAAUCAAACUCCGAAUGCCAUGACAUGGACUGUGGGAGUCAGACUGCGGGCAAUAAGGUUCGUGGUCGAAAGGGAAAGAGCCCGGACCGCCGGCUAAGGUCUCGAAACUACGCUCAGUGGAAAAGGAAGUAUCAUUGCGAAGACAUCCAGGAGGUUGGCUUAGAAGCAGCCACACCUUGAAAGAGUGCGUAACAGCUCACUGGUCGAGUAGUGAUGCGCCGAUAAUCCAACGGGGCUAAGCGUAGUACCGAAGCCGCGGGAUCACGUCGUUGAGGCGUGAUCGGUAGGGGAGCGUUCUGUGUACUGUUGAAGGUGUGCUGGAAGGCAUGCUGGAGGGGACAGAAGUGAGAAUGCAGGCAUGAGUAACGAAAAGACAGGUGAGAUUCCUGUCCGCCGAAAGCCUAAGGUUUCCAGGGUUAAGGCAAUCUUCCCAAGGGUUAGUCGGCCCCUAAGGCGAGGCCGAAAGGCGUAGCCGAUGGGAAACGGGUUAAUAUUCCCGUACCUCCUGUACUUUCGAAGGGAUGACGCAUGAGGUGAAGCGCGGCCGGGCGACGGUAGUCCCGGUACAAGCGGUAAGCUUUUGAGGCGCGGAGGCAAAUCCCCGUGCCGAGGUGAGUCGUGAAGUCGAGCCGAUCUACGGAGAGGCGAAGCGUGUGGAGUCAUGGUGCCGAGAAAGAAUCUCUAAGGUAAGGGUGCAGGGGACCGUACCGCAAACCGACACAGGUAGGCGAGAUGAGUAUUCUCAGGCGCACGGGAGAACUCGCGUUAAGGAACUCGGCAAAAUACACACGUAACUUCGGGAGAAGUGUGGCCUCUGAUGGCUGUUAAAGGUGGUUGGGGGUUGCAGAGAAUAGGUCCAGGCGACUGUUUACCAAAAACACAGGUCUGUGCGAAAUCGUAAGAUGAAGUAUACGGACUGACACCUGCCCGGUGCUGGAAGGUUAAGAGGAGGGGUUAGCUUCGGCGAAGCUCUGAAUUGAAGCCCCAGUAAACGGCGGCCGUAACUAUAAC
rnacentral:rRNA from 1 species